AAAAAGGGUGGCAUCUUUUCCCCCCAGCUGGUUGGAAGAGGAUAGACCGGUGGAUGUUGUCUCAACGUGACUGUUUACUGAUAAAAUAACCUUUUAAUAUAUAUUCGACGCUGUAUGUGUUUCUAUACGUGAAAAAGAGACGGUGGGACCGUAUCUAAUCCCGUCGGGAAACCCGAGUAACGUUUUUCGUCGAAAUAAAUCCUCGUUUUGUUUUUAAUCCAGUUGAUCAGACGUGUUUGUUGAUUUCAUCUCGCCGAGACGACUGUCUAUAGUCAUUUUUUAUUUUAUUUAUUCUGAUAAAUAAGAGCGAUCUCUUGUGGAUUAAAUUGAACUACAAAAUACGAUGAGUACCUUGAACUCUGUGGAUCGAGUUGAACUGUGCGACAGCCUUUUAACAUGGAUCCAGACGUUUGGAUUGGAGGCACCAUGCAGGACGGUGGACGAUCUCACAAGUGGGAUCGUCAUGGCCCAGGCCCUACAGAAAAUAGACAUUGUGUAUUUCACUGACAACUGGAUCGGUAGGAUCAAGCCCGAGGUGGGAGAUAACUGGCGGCUAAAGAUCAGUAAUCUAAAGAAGGUGUUGAAAGGUAUACUGGACUACAACCAAGAGGUCCUUCAACAGCAGAUCAAUGACUUCACCCUGCCAGACAUCAACCUGAUAGGAGAACACUCAGACGCUGCAGAGCUGGGCAGGAUGCUGCAACUCAUACUAGGCUGUGCUGUCAACUGUGAGCAGAAACAAGAAUACAUCCAGACCAUAAUGAUGCUGGAGGAAUCUGUUCAACACGUUGUCAUGACAGCCAUUCAAGAGUUGAUGAGCAAAGAGUGCCCUGUAAUGGGAGGAAACGACUCAGACGCUGACAUCGAUAGACAGCUGAAGAAGACGGUGGAGGAUUUGAACGAGGCUCUAGCCACCAAGGAGGAGAUCGCACAGAGAUGUCACGAGCUGGACAUGCAGGCUUUCCAUGUACAGGAGCAGCGAGAUAGACUGAGGUUAGAGUAUAUUGAACUAGAGGAGAGGGUGGCAGCGCUACAGGAGGAGAGGGGUAGUCUCCUGGCUGAGAACCAGAUCCUCAUGGAGCGUCUCAACCAGUCUGACUCCAUAGAAGACCUGAACAGCCCUGUAGGACGAAGACACCUGCAGCUGCAGACACAGCUAGAACAGCUCCAGGAGGAGACCUUCAGGCUGGAGGCAGCGAAGGAUGAUUAUCGUAUCCACUGUGAGGAGUUGGAGAAGGAGCUGACAGAGCUGAGAGGGCAGAAUGAAGAGCUCACCUCCCUGGCUGACGAGGCCCAGACACUGAAGGACGAAAUGGAUGUACUCAGACACUCGUCAGACAAGGUGUCCAAGCUGGAGGUCAUGGUGGAGUCGUAUAAAAAGAAGCUGGAGGACCUGGGAGAUCUGAGGAGACAGGUCAAACUGUUGGAGGAGAAGAACACUCUGUACAUGCAGAACACUGUCAGUCUGGAGGAAGAAGUACGCAAGGCCAACACCACGAGAGGACAGCUGGAGUCCUACAAGAGACAGGUGGUAGAGCUGCAGAACAAGCUGUCUGAGGAGUCCAAAAAGACAGACAAGAUGGAGUUUGAAUACAAGAGACUCAAGGAGAAGGUGGACUCUCUACAGAAAGAAAAGGAUCGGAUGAGGUCAGAGAGAGACUCCCUAAAGGAGACCAUUGAGGAGCUGCGUUUUGUUGAGGCUCAGGAAGGACAACUGUCUACAGGCAUGGUUCCACUGGACAGUAACGAGGGCUCUGAUUCGCUGGCGGCAGAGAUCGUCACCCCAGAGAUCCGAGAGAAGCUGAUCAGACUGCAGCAUGAGAACAACAUGCUGAAGCUGGCCCAGGAGGGUUCUGAUAAUGAGAAGAUCGCUCUGCUGCAGAGUUUACUGGAGGACGCAAACAGUAGGAAGAACGAACUGGAGACAGAAAACAGACUGGUGAACCAGAGACUGAUCGAGGGUCAGAGUCAGGUGGAGGAGCUGCAGAGGAGUCUUCAGGAACAGGGCUCCAAAGCAGACGAUUCAAUCAUUCUGAAGAAGAAAAAUGAUGCUCACAUGGAGAAAUUACGGGAAGUGAACAGUGAACUGCAGAAGAAGUGUGCGCACAUCGAUGACUUGGAGCCCAAGUACACCUCUAGUUCCCAGAAAGUAGAGGAACUGGAAGAGGCGUUAAAGAAGAAGGAUGAAGACAUGAAGCAGAUGGAGGACAGAUAUAAGAAGUACCUGGAGAAGGCGAAGAGUGUUAUCCGGACCCUGGACCCUAAGCAGAACCAGGGCUCGGCACCAGAGGUCCAGACCCUGAAGAACCAGCUGCAGGAGAGGGAAAGGAUGCUGCACUCUCUGGAGAAAGACUACGACAAGACCAAGGCUCAGAGAGACCAGGAGGAGAAACUCAUAGUGUCUGCCUGGUACAACAUGGGCAUGGCUCUCCAGAAGAAGGCAGCAGAGGACCGUCUGGCCAGUACGGGUUCCGGACAGUCCUUCCUGGCCCGCCAGAGACAGGCUACCAGCACACGCCGCUCCUACCCCGGAUACCCGGGACCCCAGUCCGCCACCGCCAGGUAGACAUGGCGCCGUGACUCUUCAACCCGACCUUUGACCUCCGACCCUUCCAGGCCAGGUACCACCACGGCCAGUGACAUUACAUGACCAGCGCAGGCAGGGGUGAUGGGCGGGUGCAUGACCAUGGCUUAAUAAUGAGUCGAGCUGAAAAUAACCCUUCAUCAACACUAACCCUCAACUCUACGGAGGACGGGCCGGGCGGGCGGGCCCAGACUAUGCCC